UGGCAAAUACGUUGACUGAAGAACAGCAGAUUGCUAUAUUGCAGAAAGCUUUCUACGAGUUUGACACAGAUCGAGAUGGGCGAUUAAACAUAGAGGAAUUCAAUAAAAUGAUGAGGUUACGUUAUGGUCGAUAUCUAACUCCGAAAGAGGUCCGUGACAUGUUCAAUAGACUCGACUACGACGGAAGCGGUACCGUAGAAUUGGACGAAUUGUUGAACGGGGCCAAGGGAGAGAGUAUAUAUGUGCUGAACAAAGAACAAAUUGUUGAGUUCCAAGAAGCUUUCACAAUGUUUGACAAAGAUGGUGAUGG